UACGUAAGGUGCAAGCGUUAAUCGGAAUUACUGGGCGUAAAGCGUGCGCAGGCGGUUCGGAAAGAGAGGUGUGAAAUCCCAGGGCUUAACCUUGGAACUGCACUUUUAACUACCGGGCUAGAGUACGUCAGAGGGGGGUAGAAUUCCACGUGUAGCAGUGAAAUGCGUAGAGAUGUGGAGGAAUACCGAUGGCGAAGGCAGCCCCCUGGGAUGAUACUGACGCUCAUGCACGAAAGCGUGGGGAGCAAACAGG
rnacentral:rRNA from 1 species